rnacentral:rRNA from 1 species
AGAGUUUGAUCAUGGCUCAGGAUGAACGCUAGCUACAGGCUUAACACAUGCAAGUCGAGGGGAAACGACAUCGAAAGCUUGCUUUUGAUGGGCGUCGACCGGCGCACGGGUGAGUAACGCGUAUCCAACCUGCCCACCACUUGGGGAUAACCUUGCGAAAGUAAGACUAAUACCCAAUGAUAUCUCUAGAAGACAUCUGAAAGAGAUUAAAGAUUUAUCGGUGAUGGAUGGGGAUGCGUCUGAUUAGCUUGUUGGCGGGGUAACGGCCCACCAAGGCAACGAUCAGUAGGGGUUCUGAGAGGAAGGUCCCCCACAUUGGAACUGAGACACGGUCCAAACUCCUACGGGAGGCAGCAGUGAGGAAUAUUGGUCAAUGGGCGAGAGCCUGAACCAGCCAAGUAGCGUGCAGGAAGACGGCCCUAUGGGUUGUAAACUGCUUUUAUAAGGGAAUAAAGUGAGUCUCGUGAGACUUUUUGCAUGUACCUUAUGAAUAAGGACCGGCUAAUUCCGUGCCAGCAGCCGCGGUAAUACGGAAGGUCCGGGCGUUAUCCGGAUUUAUUGGGUUUAAAGGGAGCGUAGGCCGGAGAUUAAGCGUGUUGUGAAAUGUAGACGCUCAACGUCUGCACUGCAGCGCGAACUGGUUUCCUUGAGUACGCACAAAGUGGGCGGAAUUCGUGGUGUAGCGGUGAAAUGCUUAGAUAUCACGAAGAACUCCGAUUGCGAAGGCAGCUCACUGGGGCGCAACUGACGCUGAAGCUCGAAAGUGCGGGUAUCGAACAGGAUUAGAUACCCUGGUAGUCCACGCCGUAAACGAUGACUACUAGGUGUCGGGCAGCAAAGCUGUUCGGUGCCGCAGCAAACGCAAUAAGUAGUCCACCUGGGGAGUACGUUCGCAAGAAUGAAACUCAAAGGAAUUGACGGGGACCCGCACAAGCGGUGGAGCAUGUGGUUUAAUUCGAAGCAACGCGAAGAACCUUACCUGCUCUUGACAUCUCCCUGACCGGCAAGUAAUGUUGCCUUUCCUUCGGGACAGGGAUGACAGGUGGUGCAUGGUUGUCGUCAGCUCGUGUCGUGAGAUGUUGGGUUAAGUCCCGCAACGAGCGCAACCCCUAUCUUUAGUAGCCAGCGGUUUGGCCGGGCACUCUAGAGAGACUGCCAGGGAUAACCUGGAGGAAGGUGGGGAUGACGUCAAAUCAUCAUGCCCCUUAUGAGCAGGGCUACACACGUGCUACAAUGGCGUAAACAAAGGGAGGCAGAACCGCGAGGUCGAGCAAAUCCCAAAAAUAACGUCUCAGUUCGGAUUGUAGUCUGCAACUCGACUACAUGAAGCUGGAAUCGCUAGUAAUCGCGAAUCAGAAUGUCGCGGUGAAUACGUUCCCGGGUCUUGUACGCACCGCCCGUCACACCAUGGGAGUCAGUAACGCCCGAAGUCAGUGACCCAACCGUAAGGAGGGAGCUGCCGAAGGUGGGACCGAUAACUGGGGUGAAGUCGUAACAAGGUA